ensembl:misc_RNA 7SK 7SK RNA
GGAUGUAAGGGCAAUCUAGCUGUGACACGUGCCGCCCCAUUAAUCACCAGGAUUGAUUCGACUGAUCUAGCUGGCUAGGUGGGUGUCAUCUUCCUCCCUCACUGCUCCAUGUGUGUCCCUCCUGAAACUGAGCACUCAAAGAGGACAACCACCCCUGAUAGAAGAGGACUGUUUCCUCAGUCAAGGUCAUAUAUAUGAGGCUGCAUUCCCCUGCUAGAACCUACAAACAAGCUCUCAGGAAGAUAGACGGGAAAACAGACUUCCAGGAAGAUGAU